CCUACGGGGGGCUGCAGUAGGGAAUAUUGCUCAAUGGGGGAAACCCUGAAGCAGCAACGCCGCGUGGAGGAUGAAGGUUUUAGGAUUGUAAACUCCUUUUGUUAGAGAAGAUUAUGACGGUAUCUAACGAAUAAGCACCGGCUAACUCCGUGCCAGCAGCCGCGGUAAUACGGAGGGUGCAAGCGUUACUCGGAAUCACUGGGCGUAAAGAGUGCGUAGGCGGGGUAGUAAGUCAGAUGUGAAAUCCUGUGGCUUAACUACAGAACUGCAUUUGAAACUGUUACUCUGGAGUGUGGGAGAGGUAGGUGGAAUUCUUGGUGUAGGGGUAAAAUCCGUAGAGAUCAAGAGGAAUACUCAUUGCGAAGGCGACCUGCUGGAACAUUACUGACGCUGAUGCACGAAAGCGUGGGGAGCAAACAGGAUUAGAUACCCGUGUAGUC
rnacentral:rRNA from 1 species